rnacentral:rRNA from 1 species
GAUAAACGCUGGCGGCGUGCAUGAGACAUGCAAGUCGAACGGACGAUCAGGGCUUGCUCUGAUCGUUAGUGGCGGACGGCUGAGUAACGCGUAGGUGACCUGCCCCGAAGUGGGGAAUAACUGCCCGAAAGGGUGGCUAAUACCGCAUGUGGUGGUGCGUUCGAUCGCACCAGUAAAGCCGCAAGGCGCUUCGGGAGGGGCCUGCGUCCGAUUAGCUCGUUGGUGGGGUAAACGGCUCACCAAGGCGACGAUCGGUAGGUGGUCUGAGAGGAAGAUCACCCAGACUGGGACUGAGACACGGCCCAGACUCCUACGGGAGGGCAGCAGUCGGGAAUUUGUCGCAAUGGGCGAAAAGCCUGACGCAGCAAACGCCGCGUGAGGGAUGAAAGGGCCCUUCGGUUGGUUAAAACC